GUCCACGCCGUAAACGAUGGGUACUAGGUGUUGGGUGUCAAAGCUCAGUGCCGCAGUUAACACAAUAAGUACCCCGCCUGGGGAGUACGGUCGCAAGACUAAAACUCAAAGGAAUUGACGGGGACCCGCACAAGCGGUGGAGCAUGUGGUUUAAUUCGACGCAACGCGAAGAACCUUACCAAGGCUUGACAUCCCUUGACGAUCUAAGAGAUUAGAUUUUCUUUUCGGAGACAAGGAGACAGGUGGUGCACGGUUGUCGU
rnacentral:rRNA from 1 species